GACGAACGCUGGCGGCGUGCUUAACACAUGCAAGUCGAACGGAAAGGCCUGCUUUCCCUUGUGGAUUGCGGGUACUCGAGUGGCGAACGGGUGAGUAACACGUGAGUGAUCUGCCCCCAACUUGGGUAUAAGCCUGGGAAACUGGGUCUAAUUCCCGAUAGGACUGCAGGGUGGUGCCUGUGGUGGCAAACGAUUUUCUAGUGGUUGGGGCUGAGCUCGCGGCCUAUCAGCUUGUUGGUGGGGUAAUGGCCUACCAAGGCGGCGACGGGUAGCCGGCCUGGGAGGGUGGACGGCCACAUUGGGACUGAGAUACGGCCCAGACUCCUACGGGAGGCAGCAGUGGGGAAUAGUGCACAAUGGGCGGAAGCCUGAUGCAGCGACGCCGCGUGGGGGAUGACGGCCUUCGGGUUGUAAACUCCUUUCGACCGCGAGGAAGCCACCUGGUUGGAAGGGUGGUGACGGUAGUGGUAGAAGAAGCACCGGCUAACUACGUG
rnacentral:rRNA from 1 species